rnacentral:rRNA from 1 species
AAGUCGAGCGAGCUUGCCUAGAUGAUUUUAGUGCUUGCACUAAAUGAAACUAGAUACAAGCGAGCGGCGGACGGGUGAGUAACACGUGGGUAACCUGCCCAAGAGACUGGGAUAACACCUGGAAACAGAUGCUAAUACCGGAUAACAACACUAGACGCAUGUCUAGAGUUUGAAAGAUGGUUCUGCUAUCACUCUUGGAUGGACCUGCGGUGCAUUAGCUAGUUGGUAAGGUAAUGGCUUACCAAGGCGAUGAUGCAUAGCCGAGUUGAGAGACUGAUCGGCCACAUUGGGACUGAGACACGGCCCAAACUCCUACGGGAGGCAGCAGUAGGGAAUCUUCCACAAUGGACGAAAGUCUGAUGGAGCAACGCCGCGUGAGUGAAGAAGGGUUUCGGCUCGUAAAGCUCUGUUGGUAGUGAAGAAAGAUAGAGGUAGUAACUGGCCUUUAUUUGACGGUAAUUACUUAGAAAGUCACGGCUAACUACGUGCCAGCAGCCGCGGUAAUACGUAGGUGGCAAGCGUUGUCCGGAUUUAUUGGGCGUAAAGCGAGUGCAGGCGGUUCAAUAAGUCUGAUGUGAAAGCCUUCGGCUCAACCGGAGAAUUGCAUCAGAUACUGUUGAACUUGAGUGCAGAAGAGGAGAGUGGAACUCCAUGUGUAGCGGUGGAAUGCGUAGAUAUAUGGAAGAACA